rnacentral:rRNA from 1 species
UACGGAGGGAGCUAGCGUUAUUCGGAAUUACUGGGCGUAAAGCGCACGUAGGCGGCUUUGUAAAUUAGAGGUGAAAGCCUGGAGCUCAACUCCAGAAUUGCCUUUAAGACUGCAUCGCUUGAAUCCAGGAGAGGUGAGUGGAAUUCCGAGUGUAGAGGUGAAAUUCGUAGAUAUUCGGAAGAACACCAGUGGCGAAGGCGGCUCACUGGACUGGUAUUGACGCUGAGGUGCGAAAGCGUGGGGAGCGAACGGGG